rnacentral:rRNA from 1 species
AAACUGAUCUCUCCGUGAAGAAGCGGGGAUACAAAUAUAAGACGAGAAGACCCCAUGGAGCUUUAAACCCAACAGCACCCGUUUAUUUUCAUCCUCACAUAAGUUAGGUUAUGCCUGUUUGGUUUUAGGUUGGGGUGACCACGGAGUAUAAAACAACCUCCAUGAAAAAAGGACCAAAAAUCCUUAUUAGAGAAAGACAUUUCUAAAAUUAAUAAAUUAAUUUUUAAUGAUCCGAUAUUCGAUCAACGAACCAAGUUACCCUGGGGAUAACAGCGCAAUCCACUUCAAGAGCUCCUAUCGACAAGUGGGUUUACGACCUCGAUGUUGGAUCAGGGUAUCCUAGUGGUGCAGCAGCUACUAACGGUUCGUUUGUUCAACGAUUAAAACCCU